rnacentral:rRNA from 1 species
GACGUAGGGCGCGAGCGUUGUCCGGAUUUAUUGGGCGUAAAGAGCUCGUAGGCGGCUUGUCGCGUCGACUGUGAAAACCCGAGGCUCAACUUCGGGCUUGCAGUCGAUACGGGCAGGCUAGAGUUCGGUAGGGGAGACUGGAAUUCCUGGCGUAGCGGUGAAAUGCGCAGAUAUCAGGAGGAACACCGAUGGCGAAGGCAGGUCUCUGGGCCGAUACUGACGCUGAGGAGCGAAAGCGUGGGGAGCGAACAGG